UCCAACCUCCCACCCGUGUUUAUUUUACCUUGUUGCUUCGGCGGGCCCGCCUUAACUGGCCGCCGGGGGGCUUACGCCCCCGGGCCCGCGCCCGCCGAAGACACCCUCGAACUCUGUCUGAAGAUUGUAGUCUGAGUGAAAAUAUAAAUUAUUUAAAACUUUCAACAACGGAUCUCUUGGUUCCGGCAUCGAUGAAGAACGCAGCGAAAUGCGAUACGUAAUGUGAAUUGCAAAUUCAGUGAAUCAUCGAGUCUUUGAACGCACAUUGCGCCCCCUGGUAUUCCGGGGGGCAUGCCUGUCCGAGCGUCAUUGCUGCCCUCAAGCACGGCUUGUGUGUUGGGCCCCGUCCUCCGAUCCCGGGGGACGGGCCCGAAAGGCAGCGGCGGCACCGCGUCCGGUCCUCGAGCGUAUGGGGCUUUGUCACCCGCUCUGUAGGCCCGGCCGGCGCUUGCCGAUCAACCCAAAUUUUUAUCCAGGUUGACCUCGGAUCAGGUAGGGAUACCCGCUGAACUUAAGCAUAUCAAUAGGCCGGAGGAAA
rnacentral:misc_RNA from 1 species